rnacentral:rRNA from 2 species
AAAUUGAAGAGUUUGAUCAUGGCUCAGAUUGAACGCUGGCGGCAGGCCUAACACAUGCAAGUCGAACGGUAACAGGAAGCAGCUUGCUGCUUUGCUGACGAGUGGCGGACGGGUGAGUAAUGUCUGGGAAACUGCCUGAUGGAGGGGGAUAACUACUGGAAACGGUGGCUAAUACCGCAUAACGUCGCAAGACCAAAGAGGGGGACCUUCGGGCCUCUUGCCAUCAGAUGUGCCCAGAUGGGAUUAGCUUGUUGGUGAGGUAACGGCUCACCAAGGCGACGAUCCCUAGCUGGUCUGAGAGGAUGACCAGCCACACUGGAACUGAGACACGGUCCAGACUCCUACGGGAGGCAGCAGUGGGGAAUAUUGCACAAUGGGCGCAAGCCUGAUGCAGCCAUGCCGCGUGUAUGAAGAAGGCCUUCGGGUUGUAAAGUACUUUCAGCGGGGAGGAAGGUGUUGCGGUUAAUAACCGCAGCAAUUGACGUUACCCGCAGAAGAAGCACCGGCUAACUCCGUGCCA